ACGCUAUGUUGGACUUAGG
rnacentral:snRNA from 1 species